rnacentral:rRNA from 1 species
AUUGAACGCUGGCGGCAGGCUUAACACAUGCAAGUCGAGCGGAAGAACGGAGCUUGCGCCUGGAGUCAGCGGCGCGCGGGUGAGUAAUACCUAGGAAUAUGCUUGCUAGGGGGGUAUGAUGUCCGGAGACGGGCGCUGAUACCACAUGAUUGCUGAGGGAGCAAGUGGGGGAUCUUCGGACAUUACGCUAGGAGAGGAGCCUAGGUGGGAUUAGCUAGUUUGUGGGGUAAGGGCCUGCCAAGGCGGCGCUCGGUAAGUGGUCUGCGAGGAUGAUCAGUCACACUGGAAGUUGGACACCGUCCAGGCUCCUUAGGGAGGGAGCAGUGGGGAAUAUUGGGCAAUGGGGGGGAGCCUUAUCCAACCAUGGCACGUGUGUUGAGGAAGUCUUCCGAUUGUAAAGCACUUUUUGUGGGGGGAAAGCGCAUUAAGUUAAUACCUUGCUGUUUUGACGUUAACAAGAAAAUAAGCACCGGCUAACUUCGUG